rnacentral:rRNA from 1 species
AGCCGCCGCGGUAAUACGGAGGGUGCAAGCGUUAAUCGGAAUUACUGGGCGUAAAGCGCACGCAGGCGGUCUGUCAAGUCGGAUGUGAAAUCCCCGGGCUCAACCUGGGAACUGCAUUCGAAACUGGCAGGCUAGAGUCUUGUAGAGGGGGGUAGAAUUCCAGGUGUAGCGGUGAAAUGCGUAGAGAUCUGGAGGAAUACCGGUGGCGAAGGCGGCCCCCUGGACAAAGACUGACGCUCAGGUGCGAAAGCGUGGGGAGCAAACAGGAUUAGAUACCCCUGUAGUCCCUGUCUCUUAUACA